GAGUCGCCGGGUCUAGACCCGAAGCGGAGUGAUCUACCCAUGGCCAGGGUGAAGCGACGGUAAGACGUCGUGGAGGCCCGAACCCACUUCAGUUGAAAAUGGAGGGGAUGAGCUGUGGGUAGGGGUGAAAGGCCAAUCAAACUCCGUGAUAGCUGGUUCUCCCCGAAAUGCAUUUAGGUGCAGCGUCACAUGUUUCUUACCGGAGGUAGAGCUACUGGAUGGCCGAUGGGCCCCACAGGGUUACUGACGUCAGCCAAACUCCGAAUGCCGGUAAGUGAGAGUGUGGCAGUGAGACUGCGGGCGAUAAGGUUCGUAGUCGAGAGGGAAACAGCCCAGAUCGCCGGCUAAGGCCCCUAAGCGUGUACUAAGUGGAAAAGGAUGUGGGGUCGCGAAGACAACCAGGAGGUUGGCUUAGAAGCAGCCACCCUUGAAAGAGUGCGUAAUAGCUCACUGGUCAAGUGAUCCUGCGCCGACAAUGUAGCGGGGCUCAAGUACACCGCCGAAGCCGCGGCACUCACACAACAGCCCGUUGGUUUUCUACGGAGAAUCAACCAGGUGUGUGGGUGGGUAGGGGAGCGUCCUGCAUCCGUGGAAGCCGCAGAGUGAUCUAGUGGUGGAGGGUGUGGGAGUGAGAAUGCAGGCAUGAGUAGCGAAAGAAGAGUGAGAAACUCUUCCGCCGAAUGACCAAGGGUUCCUGGGCCAGGCUAAUCCGCCCAGGGUGAGUCGGGACCUAAGGCGAGGCCGACAGGCGUAGUCGAUGGACAACGGGUUGAUAUUCCCGUACCCGUGUAUCCGCGCCCAUGCUGAAUCAGUUGUACUAACCAUCCAGAUCCCCCGGGAGCACCUUCGGGUGCCGGGUGGGGUGAUGCAUGGGACCUUGGCUGGUAGUAGGCAAGCGAUGGGGUGACGCAGGAAGGUAGUGGGGCCAGUCAGUGGUUGUACUGGUGUAAGCCUGUAGGGCGUGUUCUAGGCAAAUCCGGAACACAUGGAGCCUGAGAGGUGAUGCGUAGCCGAAGUGGUGAAUUCCAUGAUCCUAUGCUGCCGAGAAAAGCCUCUAGUGAGUUGGUACACGGCCCGUACCCCAAACCAACACAGGUGGUCAGGUAGAGAAUACUAAGGCGAUCGAGAGAACUGUGGUUAAGGAACUCGGCAAAAUGCCCCCGUAACUUCGGGAGAAGGGGGACCCAGACUGGUGACGAUCUUUACGGUCCGAGCUGGUGUGGGUCGCAGAGACCAGAGAGAAGCGACUGUUUACUAAAAACACAGGUCCGUGCGAAGUCGUAAGACGAUGUAUACGGACUGACGCCUGCCCGGUGCUGGAAGGUUAAGAGGACCGGUUAAUCACUUCGGUGGUGAAGCUGAGAAUUUAAGCCCCAGUAAACGGCGGUGGUAACUAUAACCAUCCUAAGGUAGCGAAAUUCCUUGUCGGGUAAGUUCCGACCUGCACGAAUGGCGUAACGACUUCUCUGCUGUCUCAACCACAGACUCGGCGAAAUUGCAGUACGAGUAAAGAUGCUCGUUACGCGCGGCAGGACGAAAAGACCCCGGGACCUUCACUAUAGCUUGGUAUUGGUGUUCGGUUCGGUUUGUGUAGGAUAGGUGGGAGACUGUGAAGUGGGCACGCCAGUGUUCAUGGAGUCGUUGUUGAAAUACCACUCUGAUCGUAUUGGACUUCUAACCUCGGACCCUGAUCGGGUUCAGGGACAGUGCCUGGUGGGUAGUUUAACUGGGGCGGUUGCCUCCCAAAAUGUAACGGAGGCGCCCAAAGGUUCCCUCAGCCUGGUUGGCAAUCAGGUGUUGAGUGUAAGUGCACAAGGGAGCUUGACUGUGAGACGUACAUGUCGAGCAGGGACGAAAGUCGGGACUAGUGAUCCGGCACCGGCAAGUGGAAGCGGUGUCGCUCAACGGAUAAAAGGUACCCCGGGGAUAACAGGCUGAUCUUCCCCAAGAGUCCAUAUCGACGGGAUGGUUUGGCACCUCGAUGUCGGCUCGUCGCAUCCUGGGGCUGGAGUAGGUCCCAAGGGUUGGGCUGUUCGCCCAUUAAAGCGGCACGCGAGCUGGGUUUAGAACGUCGUGAGACAGUUCGGUCUCUAUCCGCCGCGCGCGUAAGAAACUUGAGGAAACCUGUCCCUAGUACGAGAGGACCGGGACGGACGAACCUCUGGUGUGCCAGUUGUCCUACCAAGGGCACCGCUGGUUAGCUACGUUCGGAAGGGAUAACCGCUGAAAGCAUCUAAGCGGGAAGCCUGUUCCAAGAUGAGGUUUCUCACCCUCUUAGCAGGGUUAAGGCCCCCUACAGACCAUGGGGUUGAUAGGCCAGAACUGUAAGCACAGUAAUGUGUUCAGGUGACUGGUACUAAUCGGCCGAGGACUUACCAAC
rnacentral:rRNA from 1 species